UGGUGCUACAGUUCCUGCUGCCUCCUAAACAUGGAUGAUUUUAUCUUUUAUUUUUCGAAAGCAUCCAAUCUCUAAUGGCACUCUGAAUAAGUUCUGCAGAAAGACAACACUCACAUGUUUUUGUAAAAACAAAGUGGUUCUACCUCCGAGAAGUUUCCAUCUUCCCAUUAAAAAAACGCGUUUGCCUUAAGCCCAAGCCUAUAGUCUUUUUGGCCAAGCUCGAUGGAUCAAAGUGGGUAUGUCUGCAAAGGAAUGAACAGAAGGUUCUUGGAAGCAGCCAAAUCAGGGAACGUCCAAGUGCUUAAUGAGAUUGAGGAGCUGCAACGCGUUACUAAUGAGGUAACGCCAGGGGAAAACACGGUGCUACAUAUUGCCGCCUAUCAUGGCUCUCUGCAAUUCGUUCAAAAGUUGCUUCAACUCUCAAAUGCCAAUCCAGAGGAUGGGAUGACAUUUUUAAAAGCUAAAAAUAUGGAGGGAAACACAGCGUUACACGAAGGGGCGUUGGGAGGAAAUGAGCAAGUCGUGGAAGAUUUAUUGAAGUCAUGCCCAGAUUUGGUGAAUGAGAUUAACAAAGCAGGUGAAACGGCUCUCUUUAAAGCUUGUGAGGGAGGUCAUCUCAAGAUUGUUGAAAUGUUGUGCUGUAGGACUUCAAGAGAGUACUACAAGAGAUUUGAUGGACAAACGGUUUUACAUCUUGCAGUCUCUAAAUUAAGUACAGAUGUAAUUAAGAAGCUUUUAGAAAAUGAACCUGAACUUGCCACAGAAGUAGACACUUUCAACCGAACUCCGUUGCACAUGGCUGCCUUAUAUCAAUUUCCAGUUGCGAUGUUUCCAUGUUUUUCAAUGAAUCCGAAGAAACUUCGCCGGAUUGGAAGAUGCUUAUCAAAAAUGGUAAUGGACUUUCUUGUUACAAAGUGGACCAAAACAAGCAGUCUGCACUUCACGUUGCAGCCAAAGAGGGGAACGCAACUCUAGUGAAAGUGAUAUUGAAUUACGGCAGCGACUGUCUGGAAAUGGUAGACAAAGAUGGUAGAAAUGCCUUCCAUCUGGCUGUGAACAAUGCUGUUGUAAUAUUUAGGAGAGUUGGAAAAAUUCUGAGAUGGAUAAUAUCCUCGGUAAUGUCAGAAAGACUGAUUAAUUGCAUUGAUAAUAAUGGGCAAACGGCAUUAGAUAUUGCACUAAAGAAAUGCAACGAAGACCCACAACUUUAUGGGGCUGUCUUACGAGGACACAUUUUUUUAUUUUGCAUUUCGAGCUGGCGGAGAAGCGGAUAACAUCUUAACUAAUAUGAGCUUGCAUGCGUUAUAUAUAGCACUGGUAUCAUUAUCAUUAACAUUUGGCGCAGCAAUGCAUCUGGUUGUGGCAUCGAAGUGUUGGUGGUUGGCUGUGCUUGUGUGGGUUAUGGUGUGCCUUCUUCCAAUAUGCAUAAGGGCAAUGUCACUACGUGGAAAACAAUACCUGUUCACUCCACUUGACCAACAUAUCAAAUUAGUGCUGCUUGUUUUCGGUCUUGUACUCGCUUCGUUUGCUCCCUUGGUUGUGAUAGCCAUUGCGGUUUUCUAUGGAAUAUAUCACCCUUUGCGUAGGGUUUGGAAGAAGCUCCAUGGAAUCAAAUCUAAAGUUCACUAGAUAUGCAGUUAAAUGUAUUUCGUGUGGUGUUAAAAAGCAGAUAUCUUUGAAAAAGUUUAUAGCUAUUAGAAGGUUCAAAUAGUGGGAGAUUUAAGGUCAAGAUCAUUCCAAAAGUUAUUAU